rnacentral:rRNA from 1 species
UGCCCGGUGACAAAUAGUUCAACGGCCGCGGUAUUUUGACCGUGCAAAGGUAGCGCAAUCACUUGUCUUUUAAAUGAAGACCCGUAUGAAUGGCACCACGAGGGCUUAACUGUCUCCUUCUCCCAGUCAAUGAAAUUGAUCUCCCCGUGCAGAAGCGGGGAUCCAUACAUAAGACGAGAAGACCCUUUGGAGCUUUAGACAACAAGUAGACCAUGUCCCUGCCUCCAAACAAAAGGAAUGAACUAAUUGGACCCUACCCUACUGUCUUUGGUUGGGGCGACCGCGGGGAAACAAAAAACCCCCAUGUGGAACGGGAGAUCCCCCUAUAACCAAGAGCCACAGCUCUAAGUUUCAGAAUUUCUGACCAAAAAGAUCCGGCAGUGCCGAUCAACGAACCGAGUUACCCUAGGGAUAACAGCGCAAUCCCCUUUUAGAGCCCAUAUCGACAAGGGGGUUUACGACCUCGAUGUUGGAUCAGGACAUCCUAAUGGUGCAGCCGCUAUUAA